GCCGGCGUAGGCUAAUCCGGUAAGCCGCUAGGUUCAGACCCUAGCGUCCGUAAGGACUUCGGGGUUCAAAUCCCCGCGCCGGCG
rnacentral:tRNA from 1 species